rnacentral:rRNA from 1 species
AUUGAACGCUGGCGGCAGGCCUAACACAUGCAAGUCGAGCGAGCGGCGGACGGGUGAGUAAUUUCUGGGAAACUGCCUGAUGGAGGGGGAUAACUCCUGUAAACGGUAGCUAAUACCGCAUACCCUCAGGUGUGCCCAGAUGGGCUUAGCUGGUCGGUGGGGUAACGGCUCACCUAGGCGACGCUCCCGAGCUGGUCUGAGAGGAAGACCAGCCACACUGGAACGGAGACACGGUCCAGACUCCUACGGGAGGCAGCAGUGGGGAAUAUUGCACAAUGGGCGCAAGCCUGAUGCAGCCAUGCCGCGUGUGUGAAGAAGGCCUUCGGGUUGUAAAGCACUUUCAGCGGGGAGGCGUUACCCGCAGAAGAAGCACCGGCUAACUCCGUGCCAGCAGCCGCGGUAAUAC